rnacentral:rRNA from 1 species
AUUGAACGCUGGCGGCAGGCCUAACACAUGCAAGUCGAGCGGAGCGGCGGACGGGUGAGUAAUGCCUAGGAAUCUGCCUGGGAGUGGGGGAUAACGUCCGGAAACGGGCGCUAAUACCGCAUACUCUCAGAUGAGCCUCGGUCGGAUUAGCUAGUUGGUGGGGUAAAGGCUCACCUAGGCGACGAUCCCUAGCUGGUCUGAGAGGCUGACCAGCCACACGGGAACUGAGACACGGUCCAGACUGCUACGGGAGGCAGGAGUGGGGAAUAUUGCGCAAUGGGCGCAAGCCUGAUGCAGCCAUGCCGCGUGUAUGAAGAAGGCCUUCGGGUUGUAAAGUACUUUCAGCGGGGAGGCGUUACCCGCAGAAGAAGCACCGGCUAACUCCGUGGCAGCAGCCGCGGUAAUUC